rfam:Aedes aegypti strain Liverpool supercont1.360 genomic scaffold, whole genome shotgun sequence.
CACUGGCCAGCCUGAAAUUUGCUAAACCUGUGUGUAUUUGAUUCAAACAAUCAAGGUGAGCAAAUUUUCAGGUGUGUCGGAGA